GAUCCUGGCUCAGGAUGAACGCUAGCUACAGGCUUAACACAUGCAAGUCGAGGGGCAGCGGGAUUGAAGCUUGCUUCGAUUGCCGGCGACCGGCGCACGGGUGAGUAACGCGUAUCCAACCUUCCGUACACUCAGGGAUAGCCUUUCGAAAGAAAGAUUAAUACCUGAUGGUAUGAUGAGAUUGCAUGAUAGCACAAUUAAAGAUUUAUCGGUGUACGAUGGGGAUGCGUU
rnacentral:rRNA from 1 species